UCCGGUGGCUAUAGCGGAGGGGUCUCACCCGUUUCCAUCCCGAACACGGAAGUUAAGCCCUCCUGCGCCGAUGGUACUGCACUGCGCGUGUGGGAGAGUAGGACGCUGCCGGAA
rnacentral:rRNA from 2 species